AUGGCUCAGGAUGAACGCUAGCGGCAGGCUUAACACAUGCAAGUCGAGGGGCAGCGGGAUGUAGCAAUACAUUGCCGGCGACCGGCGGAUGGGUGCGUAACGCGUAUGCAACCUACCUUAUACAGGGGAAUAACCUUUCGAAAGGGAGACUAACACCCCAUAGUAUUGAUUUAAGGCAUCUUAGAUUAAUUAAAUAUUUAUAGGUAUAAGAUGGGCAUGCGUAUGAUUAGCUAGUUGGUAAGGUAACGGCUUACCAAGGCGACGAUCAUUAGGGGUUCUGAGAGGAAGGCCCCCCACACUGGUACUGAGACACGGACCAGACUCCUACGGGAGGCAGCAGUGAGGAAUAUUGGUCAAUGGGCGCAAGCCUGAACCAGCCAUGCCGCGUGCAGGAAGACGGCCUUAUGGGUUGUAAACUGCUUUUACAUAAGACUAACCGUAUAUUUGCGAAUAUACCUGAAUGUAUUAUGAGAAUAAGGAUCGGCUAACUCCGUGCCAGCAGCCGC
rnacentral:rRNA from 1 species